rnacentral:rRNA from 1 species
GAUGAACGCUAGCGGCAGGCUUAACACAUGCAAGUCGAGGGGUAGGUUACUUCGGUAAUUGAGACCGGCGCACGGGUGCGUAACGCGUAUACAAUCUACCUUUUACAGAGGGAUAGCCCAGAGAAAUUUGGAUUAAUACCUCAUAGUAUUUUUGAAUCGCAUGAUUUGAUUAUUAAAGUUCCAACGGUAAAAGAUGAGUAUGCGUCCCAUUAGCUAGAUGGUAAGGUAACGGCUUACCAUGGCUACGAUGGGUAGGGGUCCUGAGAGGGAGAUCCCCCCACACUGGUACUGAGACACGGACCAGACUCCUACGGGAGGCAGCAGUGAGGAAUAUUGGACAAUGGGCGCAAGCCUGAUCCAGCCAUGCCGCGUGCAGGAUGACGGUCCUAUGGAUUGUAAACUGC